CCCUUAGAUGUUCUGGGCUGCACGCGCGCUACACUGAUGCGCUCAACGAGUUUUAACCUUGCCUGGAAAGGUUGGGUAAUCUUUUUAAAACGCAUCGUGAUGGGGAUAGAUUAUUGCAAUUAUUGGUCUUCAACGAGGAAUUCCUAGUAGACGUAGUUCAUCAGACUGCAUCGAUUACGUCCCUGCCCUUUGUACACACCGCCCGUCGCUCCUACCGAUUGGAUGAUCCGGUGAGCUAUUCGGACUUUCGCAUUGUCGAUUUUCGGCUUUACGAGGGAAAGUCUCGCGAACCUUAUCAUCUAGAGGAAGGAGAAGUCGUAACA
rnacentral:rRNA from 1 species